GGAAUGGAAAGUUUAACUCUCCUUUGGAGAAGAAUAGUUGUAGUGGAAAAAGGAAAGAAGAUGAAGAGAAAGAGAAGAGAGAUAUGAUGUAGGUGAGAAGGAAGAAGAAGAAGAAGAAGAGAGAGAGACAGUGAGAGACUGACGAAAGGGUACUAAAGUAAAUAUUCGAUAAACUUUGCGGGUAUCAACUCUGCGGGUACUGAAGUUUUUUGUAUAUGAUUUAACGAAAUGUUAAUGGAGAAGCUGACGAAAAAAAAAAACCUAUAAAAUAUUAAAUUGAUGUACUUUAAAUCAGAAGAUACUAAAAUAAGAAAGUGCGAAACUACAUUAAUGAUAUUUGAAAUUUAACCAUCAAACCAUCCCAAACUUUUUGUAACUGAAUUGUCAACGUUAAACAAUCCCCUAGGGUGUGUUUGGUUUCACGUAAAACUAUGGAAAAAAAAAUUUUGGUGGAAAAAAAAUUUUCAGUGGAAAAAGUAUUUUACGCUGUUUAUGUUUGGUAUGUAGGAAAAGAAAAAUCGUUUUCCAUGUCGAUUGUUUGGUUGAAAGGAAAAGAAAAAUAGAUGAAAAACUAUUUAAUAUUUUUUUAUAUUAUUAUAUUAUUAAUAUAUAAUAAUUAAUAUACUACAUAUAAAAAAUUAUUAUAUAUAUUUUCUCCUAUUAUAUAUAUUAUAUAGUAUUAAUAUAUAAUAAUUAUCAUAAUAUAUUUAAUUAUUAUAAUUUAUAUUUAUAAAAAAGUAUAUUUAAAAAAUAUAUAUAUAAUAAAUAUGUAACAUAAUAUAUAUAUAAUAAUAUAUAUAUUUAAUAUUAUAAAAUAAAUUAUUAUAUAUUUAUAAAUAAAAUAUUAUAUAAUAACAUAUUUAUAUAAAAAUAAAAUAAAAUUAUGGCCAAUUUGCAUAAAAAAUCCACUUAUUUUGGGCUUUUGCAAAACCGGGCCACCUUUUUCGUUCUUGCAGAUUCGGUCCACUUUUUCAGCAAACUGACCAAAAUACCCUUUUUACUUUUUCUCUUUCCUCUUUCUCUCUCCUCUUCGUUUCUUUCGUUCUUUGUUUUUCUCGCUCGCAGAGCGGAGGCUGAAACGGUCCGUCUCGCCUCUCACCCUCAUUCUCUAGCCCUCGCCCUCGCCCUCGCCCUUGCCCUCGUCCACGCACCCCCCACCUUCCUCGCCUCCAACCCCGCCAAGGCCGCGCCACG
rnacentral:lncRNA from 1 species